GCCUGGAACCCAGCAUCCGAGGAGCAGUGUUUUGACAGAUGUCACCGUCUCGGGCAAACCAAGUACGUCAUCAUUACAAAGUACGUCGUGAAGGAUUCUGUGGAAGAGCGCAUGUUGGAGCUGCAGGAGAAGAAACGCAAACUGAUGCAGGGAGCAUUUGGAAAGAAGCAGACGGCCGAGCAACGAAGAGAAACACGCAUUGCAGAUAUCAAAACUUUGUUUUCAUAGAACCGGAAACUUAAGAUAACUUUUCAAAUUUGUCAAACAGAGCUGCAGAAAGUUUGGUUUUAUUCUAUCUUAAGUUCUGAGUUUUUAGGUGCAUGGUCAAAAAAGAGAUGUUUGGAAAGAACAAUGCAAAAACAUUUUGUACUGAUGCAAUUUAGCCUUCAGGUAUAUGGUGCUUGAGAUAAAAUUAUGGUACAUUCAGAAUAAUUUUCCAUUAUUUGAAACCAUCUUGUCUGUAAUGCAGUACCAAGAUUAAUUUUAGUCUCCAGUUUUAUUUCUUCACACUAUUAGAAACAAAUUAUUCCAAAGUUUCCUGCUUGUGUUUUUUUUUUAUUUCAAGUAAAUGAGAGAAUAUUUUAACUGGUUUGUAUUUUUGAGAACAUUUUUAGGUACAGCUGAUUCAGUUUGAGAGGUGCUUGGUUGGUGACACAAGUUUAUAAGAUAUUCAAAAGUGGGUGACACACAAAGUGCCAAAAUUUUGUUCUAACAUAUAUCUGCCUCCAAUAUUAGAUGAGAUUCAGUCAUUUUAUUUAUAGCAAUGUAAAUUUUUUAAUGUAUUACCUGUUACCCAUCAGAAAUAUUCUAAAAUACAUAACAGCAAAUAGAUAAAGAAAUUUGCAACAUUUUAAUACUGUUUUUCAUUGGAAUCAAAUCUCCUUUUACCCUUUUGAAUUUGUCUGUCCAAAGUAAUUUUAAUUCAAUUAAAACAAAACUGCUUCAGUUGAUUCAGCAUUUAUAGAAUUCUUUCUACUUUAAUACUUUUAGAUAAUUGUAUUUUUGCCAUUCAUAAAACAUUAAGUAAAGAGCAUAUUUUUUCUAA